GGAUUGUGGCUCAGCGGUAGAGCGCUCCCUAGCACAUGCGAGGCCCUGGGUUCGAGCCUCAGCACCA
rnacentral:tRNA from 1 species